rnacentral:rRNA from 1 species
CGCGUAGGCGGGCUGUCAAGUCUGGGGUGAAAUCCCACGGCUCAACCGUGGAACUGCCUUAGAUACUGACGGCCUCGAGGGAGAUAGGGGCGAGCGGAACUGUGAGUGGAGCGGUGAAAUGCGUUGAUAUUCACAGGAACUCCGGUGGCGAAGGCGGCUCGCUGGAUCUUUUCUGACGCUGAGGCGCGAAAGCUAGGGAGCAAACG